GGAUCAAUGCGUCGGUCGUGCCUUCGGUACGUACUGGCGUCAUUGAUUCCUCCCUUCUGAAGAACCGUAAUGCCAUUAAUUUGGUGUUACGGGGAAUUAGGACUGUUACCUUGAAAAAAUUAGAGUGUUUAAAGCAGGCUCACGCUUGAAUACAUUAGCAUGGAAUAAUGAAAUAGGACAUCCGAUUCUAUUUUGUUGGUUUCUAGGAUCGAUGUA
rnacentral:rRNA from 1 species